rnacentral:misc_RNA from 1 species
UCCGGGUUGACCCCGGCAGUCUCAUCAGAGUCCUCAACUUAAUGUUAGUAACUGACGACAAGGGUUGCGCUCGUUGCGGGACUUAACCCAACAUCUCACGACACGAGCUGACGACAACCAUGCACCACCUGUCACCUCUGCCCGAAGGGGGAUCCCGGUUAAGGGAUCUUUCAGAGGGAUGUCAAGCCCUGGUAAGGUUUUUCGCGUUGCUUCGAAUUAAACCACAUGCUCCGCUGCUUGUGCGGGUCCCCGUCAAUUCCUUUGAGUUUUAGUGUUGCCACCGUACUCCCCAGGCGGAGCACUUAUUGCGUUAACUGCGUCACUGAAUACAUUCGUACCCAACAACUAGUGCUCAUCGUUUACGGCGUGGACUAC